AGAAUCAACGCUGGCGGCGUGCCUCAGACAUGCAAGUCGAACGCGAAAGUUUCCUUCGGGAGGCGAGUAGAGUGGCGCACGGGUGAGUAACACGUAGGUAAUCUACCUUUGGAUGGGGAAUAACAACCGGAAGCGGUUGCUAAUACCGCAUAAUGCAGCGGCACCUAAUGGUGACAGUUGUUAAAGCGGGGGAUCGAAAGACCUCGCGUCUGAAGAGGAGCCUGCGGCGGAUUAGCUAGUUGGUAAGGUAAUGGCUUACCAAGGCUACGAUCC
rnacentral:rRNA from 1 species